CCAAGUAGGUAGAAAGCGGCCUCCAGGCCUCGCGAGGAUGAGCCCGGCGUCCCAGUCGCGAGGAUGGGCGCGGCAGGGCGGGCGACCCGGCUUGUGGGAGGGAGGGAGCAGCGCGGGGCGGUGGGAGGGGGGUGGUGGGGCGGCGAACCGGACAUCCCAUACACCCACACUACAGAACACCCCCCGAUGGGCUCACCACUCCCGAACCUUCGCGCCCACGUGCGAACAGGCAGACCGCCCGACCCGUGCACGGCAGCUGCGAGGGACCGGCGGCCACUCGGGCGUGGCGGGCGCGGGGCAGCCCAGACGUUUGGGCAGCGAACCAGAGGCGGACCGCGGUGCCCGGGAUCUCACCGCCAGCGGCCUCCAAGCAUGAAGGCGGCCCCGCGGCUCCCCCACCGCCUCCGCCAUCGCGGCCAGCCCCCGGAACCCUCUUCCCUGCGCGCGCUGCACGCCGACCCCAUACCCUCCGGGCUCUCACCAGGCCCAUGCGGAGCGCCGCCGACCUGGUCCGGAAGGCGCGCGCCCGGGGACAGGGACAACCGGCCAACCAGUGGCCCGUGGCAGCGCCACACAAGGCGGAGCCGGGUUUGGUCCCAGAGGGGGCCACCACAGCCUAAGCUGGUGAGCCGCUCGGGGAGAGAGGAUACGCGGGCGGGGAGGGGGGCACAGACAGGCAAGGCCAGGGACCGCAAGGGCAAGGGCACCCGGGAGCCCGCAGAGGGGCGGCUCGGGAAGAAACCUCAGGCAAAGCCGGGCCACCAGGAAAACACGGCCACGGGAUCCCACCGCCACAGAUACGAGGGAGGUCCCGCGGCGCCCCGCCUAGGAAGCCGGACGGCCCCUGGCACCCACCGAGACCCGCCUCACGAGCCUGGGUCCCGCCAUCGGGACCCCGAAGCGACCUCAGCCACAAACCCAACGCCAGGGCCACGUUGCUGGUUUCUUGUCCAUCCUCCGACACUGUCAAGCUCCGGGAGACCGGCGCGCCCCCCACUUGGGAUGCUUCCCAUGGCCAGGCAUCCCAACCCCGUGCCACGCAAACGCGGUUGUCGGCACCGGUCGCUGCUCCUCAGGGGAGCGGGUGGAGAGCCGGCUCGCAGCGGAGCGGGUCACGCGCCGGACGGAACGCCUGGCACAGCCACCGCUCGCGCAGCCUCCCAACCGCUAGGACGCCGGCCCGGCCCGGCGGGAUCCUCCCCCGACUCGGAAGGGGGAGGCGCGGGCCACACAGUAGGUGACGAGCCGCCCUCGGUCCCCACCGCGGAGGACUCUCUCAAGAGAGAGUCGGUAAGAGACUCAUCAUUCUCUCCCGAAAGCAGUGAGGUGGAUGGUGGCUUGUGUUCCGAGCUCCUGUGGUUUCAGUUGGCCGCGCGUAGAAGAGAGAUUUCCAAUGUUUCCAGAGAGGCGCGAGCCACAGUCAUUGAACCCAGGAAGUGGAGGUUGCAGUGA
ensembl:lncRNA LINC00273 long intergenic non-protein coding RNA 273